CAGAUUAUAUCUAAGAUUUCCAAAGAGGUCUGUGACUCCAUUCAAAAAAUUUUAGGAGUCUGCAAAUGUAAAAUGGUUGAAAAUCACUUCUGUAAUAGAGAUAC